GGCUUAGAGUUUGAUCAUGGCUCAGGAUGAACGCUAGCUACAGGCUUAACACAUGCAAGUCGAGGGGCAGCAUGGUCUUAGCUUGCUAAGGCUGAUGGCGACCGGCGCACGGGUGAGUAACACGUAUCCAACCUGCCGUCUACUCUUGGCCAGCCUUCUGAAAGGAAGAUUAAUCCAGGAUGGGAUCAUGAGUUCACAUGUCCGCAUGAUUAAAGGUAUUUUCCGGUAGACGAUGGGGAUGCGUUCCAUUAGAUAGUAGGCGGGGUAACGGCCCACCUAGUCAACGAUGGAUAGGGGUUCUGAGAGGAAGGUCCCCCACAUUGGAACUGAGACACGGUCCAAACUCCUACGGGAGGCAGCAGUGAGGAAUAUUGGUCAAUGGGCGAUGGCCUGAACCAGCCAAGUAGCGUGAAGGAUGACUGCCCUAUGGGUUGUAAACUUCUUUUAUAAAGGAAUAAAGUCGGGUAUGCAUACCCGUUUGCAUGUACUUUAUGAAUAAGGAUCGGCUAACUCCGUGCCAGCAGCCGCGGUAAUACGGAGGAUCCGAGCGUUAUCCGGAUUUAUUGGGUUUAAAGGGAGCGUAGAUGGAUGUUUAAGUCAGUUGUGAAAGUUUGCGGCUCAACCGUAAAAUUGCAGUUGAUACUGGAUGUCUUGAGUGCAGUUGAGGCAGGCG
rnacentral:rRNA from 1 species